CCUACGGGUGGCAGCAGUAGGGAAUAUUGCUCAAUGGGGGAAACCCUGAAGCAGCAACGCCGCGUGGAGGAUGAAGGUUUUCGGAUUGUAAACUCCUUUUGUUAGAGAAGAUAAUGACGGUAUCUAACGAAUAAGCACCGGCUAACUCCGUGCCAGCAGCCGCGGUAAUACGGAGGGUGCAAGCGUUACUCGGAAUCACUGGGCGUAAAGAGCGCGUAGGCGGGAUAGCAAGUCAGAUGUGAAAUCCUAUGGCUUAACCAUAGAACUGCAUUUGAAACUGUUAUUCUAGAGUAUGGGAGAGGUAGGUGGAAUUCUUGGUGUAGGGGUAAAAUGCGUAGAGAUCAAGAGGAACACUCAUUGCGAAGGCGACCUGCUAGAACAUAACUGACGCUGAGGCGCGAAAGCGUGGGGAGCAAACAGGAUUAGAUACCCCGGUAGUC
rnacentral:rRNA from 1 species